UACGUAGGGUGCAAGCGUUAAUCGGAAUUACUGGGCGUAAAGCGUGCGCAGGCGGUUUUGUAAGUUUGUCGUGAAAUCCCCGGGCUCAACCUGGGAAUUGCGAUGAAGACUGCAAGGCUAGAAUCUGGCAGAGGGGGGUAGAAUUCCACGUGUGAGCAGUGAAAUGCGUAGAGAUGUGGAGGAACACCGAUGGCGAAGGCAGCCCCUGGGUCAAGAUUGA
rnacentral:rRNA from 1 species